AUGGGGACAGAGAAGGUCACCACCUCUCUGGUCUUUGCCAUCAGCAUUGCUAAGAUCGGCUCUUUCCAGUUUGGCUACAACACCGGUGUCAUUAAUGCUCCUGAGUUGAUCAUAAGGGACUUUCUCAAUUACACUUUGGAAGAGAAGUUAAUAAACCCUCCCACAGAAUUGUUGCUCACUUCCCUCUGGUCCUUGUCUGUGGCUAUCUUCCCUGUUGGUGGUAUGAUUGGCUCCUUCUCCGUUGGACUCUUUGUCAAUCGCUUUGGCAGGCGCAAUUCAUGCUUAUUGUCAACAUACUGGCUAUCGCAGGUGGCUGCCUUAUGGGGUUCUGUAAAAUAGCUCAGUCAGUUGAAAUGCUGAUCUUGGGCCGCUUGGUUAUUGGUCUCUUCUGCAGACUCUGCACAGGUUUUGUGCCCAUGUACAUUGGAGAGGUAUCUCCUACUGCCCUACGGGGUGCCUUUGGCACUCUAAACCAGCUGGGCAUCGUCAUUGGGAUUCUGGUAGCCCAGAUCUUUGGUCUGGAAGUCAUCUUGGGAUCUGAAGAGCUGUGGCCUGUGCUAUUGGGGUUCACCAUCAUUCCAGCUGUCCUGCAAAGUGCAGCCCUUCCAUUUUGCCCUGAAAGCCCUAGAUUCUUGCUCAUUAACAGACAGGAAGAGGAAAAUGCCAAGCAAAUCCUCCAGCAGUUGUGGGGUACCCAGGAUGUGAGCCAGGACAUCCAGGAGAUGAAAGAUGAGAGUGCUCAGAUGGCCCAGGAAAAGCAAGUCACGGUGCUUGAGCUCUUCAGAGCACCGAACUACCACCAGCCCAUCAUGAUUUCUAUCAUGCUCCAGCUCUCUCAGCAGCUUUCUGGAAUCAACGCUGUAUUCUAUUACUCUACAGGAAUCUUCAAAGAUGCAGGUGUUGGAGAGCCAAUCUAUGCCACCAUUGGUGCUGGUGUGGUUAAUACUAUCUUCACUGUGGUUUCGCUAUUUCUGGUGGAAAAGGCAGGAAGGAGAACUCUACAUAUGCUUGGCCUUGGAGGCAUGUCUGCUUGUUCCCUCCUCAUGACUGUUUCUUUGUUACUAAAGAUUACAGAGAAAAGCACUUUUACCAGUGGAUAUUUCAGAAGUGUCUUAGGGCAAGCUUCUCAUUCCUACUCUAAGAGAGCACUCUUGGAUAAUGGUUCUCAUAACUGGAACAUCAAUGGCAAAAGUAAAUAA